rnacentral:lncRNA from 10 species
AGGGAAGGAGGAAAUGAAGAUAUGCAGAGGGAGAUGGAGCCCUAAGCGAAACUAGGGUAGUUUAGCAGGGCUCUGCACCAGUGCUUUAUUCUGCAGUCCAUUCAUCCACUCGGACAUUAUUGAGUGCUUACUCUAGCCCAGGUGCUGUGCAAGGUAUUAUGGUGAACAAAAUAGACAUUGUCUUUGACCUCAUGACAUUUAGAGUGUAGUGAGGCAAAAAGACAUUUAAUGAAUAAUGGGCAAUAAAUAAAUACACAAUUUUAAUGGUUGUUAAUAAAGGGCAAAAAGGAAAAUGGGCUUCGGGUGCUUGGUGGCUGCUCCCAAUGAGACCACCAGAGAAGGUUUCUGCAAAGAGAUGACAGAAGAGCUGAGACCAAAGUAUAUAGGAAUCCAGCCACGCACAGUGGAGGAAGAGCGUUGCAGGCCCAGGGAACAGCAUGUGUGGCCCCGAGGGAUGCCUGCUCUCCUUUGCCUACUGCCACGGUGGAAGCUUCCUGAGCCCUCACCAGAAACAGAAGCCUGCGUCACACUUUUCAUACAGCCUGCAGAACCAUGAGCCAAAUAAACUGCUUUUCUUU